rnacentral:rRNA from 1 species
CCUACGGGAGGCAGCAGUGGGGAAUAUUGGACAAUGGACGCAAGCCUGAUCCAGCAACGCCGCGUGAAGGAAGAAGGGUUUCGGCUCGUAAACUUCUAUCAACAGGGACGAGAAAAAUAAGGGUACCUGUAUAAAAACCCCGGGCUAACUCCGUCCCAGAAGCCCCGGUAAUAGGGAGGGGGCAAGCGUUAUCCGGAUUUCCUGGGUGUAAGGGGUGGGUAGGCGGCAAGGUAAGCCAGAUGUGAAAGCAAAGGGCUUAACCCGAGGACUGCAUUUGGAACUAUCAAGCUAGAGUACAGGAGAGGAAAGCGGAAUUCCUAGUGUAGCGGUGAAAUGCGUAGAUAUUAGGAAGAACACCAGUGGCGAAGGCGGAUGGCUGGACGGCAACUGACGCUGAGGCACGAAAGCGUGGGGAGCGAACAGGAUUAGAUACCCUAGUAGUC